rnacentral:rRNA from 1 species
UAACGAAUCUUCCGCAAUGCACGCAAGUGUGACGGAGCGACGCCGCGUGUGGGAUGAAGUCCUUCGGGAUGUAAACCACUGUCAGGGGUAGGAAAGUUCUGAUCCACCCCAGAGGAAGGCACGGCUAACUCUGUGCCAGCAGCCGCGGUAAGACAGAGGUGCCGAGCGUUAGGCGGAAUCACUGGGCUUAAAGCGUGUGUAGGCGGAUCGUUAAGUACCUUGUGAAAUCCCAUGGCUUAACCAUGGAACUGCUGGGUAUACUGGCGGUCUUGAGUCACCCAGGGGCUACCGGAACAAAUGGUGGAGCGGUGAAAUGCGUAGAUAUCAUUUGGAACGCCAAUGGCGAAAGCAGGUAGCUGGAGGUGUACUGACGCUGAGACACGAAAGCCAGGGGAGCAAACGGGAUUAGAUACCCCCGUAGUCC